rnacentral:rRNA from 1 species
GACAGAGGGUGCAAACGUUGUUCGGAAUUACUGGGCAUAAAGCGCACGUAGGUGGUCCGCUAAGUCGCGUGUGAAAUCCCCCGGCUCAACCGGGGAAAUGCGCGUGAUACUGGCGGGCUUGAGAUCGGGAGGGGUGAAUGGAACUCCAGGUGGAGCGGUGAAAUGCGUAGAUAUCUGGAGGAACACCGGUGGCGAAGGCAAUCCCCUGGGCCUGCACUGACGCUCAUGCACGAAAGCGUGGGGAGCAAACAGG